rnacentral:rRNA from 1 species
GACGAACGCUGGCGGCGUGCUUAACACAUGCAAGUCGAACGGAAAGGCCCAGCUUGCUGGGUGCUCGAGUGGCGAACGGGUGAGUAACACGCGGGUGUUCUGCCUCUAACUUCGGGAUAAGCCUGGGAAACUGGGUCUAAUACCGGAUAGGACAAUCGCUUCGUGUCGGUUGUGGUAAGUUUUUUCGGUUGGGGAUGAGCCCGCGGCCUAUCAGCUUGUUGGUGGGGUAAUGGCCUACCAAGGCGUCGACGGGUAGCCGGCCUGAGAGGGUGGACGGCCACAUUGGGACUGAGAUACGGCCCAGACUCCUACGGGAGGCAGCAGUGGGGAAUAUUGCACAAUGGGCGGAAGCCUGAUGCAGCGACGCCGCGUGGGGGAUGACGGCCUUCGGGUUGUAAACCUCUUUCGACAGGGACGAAGCGUUGGUGACGGUACCUGUAAAAGAAGCACCGGCUAACUACGUG